rnacentral:rRNA from 1 species
GACGAACGCUGGCGGCGUGCCUAAUACAUGCAAGUAGAACGCUGAAGAGAGGAGCUUGCUCUUCUUGGAUGAGUUGCGAACGGGUGAGUAACGCGUAGGUAACCUGCCUUGUAGCGGGGGAUAACUAUUGGAAACGAUAGCUAAUACCGCAUAACAAUGGAUGACACAUGUCAUUUAUUUGAAAGGGGCAAUUGCUCCACUACAAGAUGGACCUGCGUUGUAUUAGCUAGUAGGUGAGGUAACGGCUCACCUAGGCGACGAUACAUAGCCGACCUGAGAGGGUGAUCGGCCACACUGGGACUGAGACACGGCCCAGACUCCUACGGGAGGCAGCAGUAGGGAAUCUUCGGCAAUGGGGGCAACCCUGACCGAGCAACGCCGCGUGAGUGAAGAAGGUUUUCGGAUCGUAAAGCUCUGUUGUAAGUCAAGAACGAGUGUGAGAGUGGAAAGUUCACACUGUGACGGUAGCUUACCAGAAAGGGACGGCUAACUACGUGCCAGCAGCCGCGGUAAUACGUAGGUCCCGAGCGUUGUCCGGAUUUAUUGGGCGUAAAGCGAGCGCAGGCGGUUUGAUAAGUCUGAAGUUAAAGGCUGUGGCUCAACCAUAGUUCGCUUUGGAAACUGUCAAACUUGAGUGCAGAAGGGGAGAGUGGAAUUCCAUGUGUAGCGGUGAAAUGCGUAGAUAUAUGGAGGAACACCGGUGGCGAAAGCGGCUCUCUGGUCUGUAACUGACGCUGAGGCUCGAAAGCGUGGGGAGCGAACAGGAUUAGAUACCCUGGUAGUCCACGCCGUAAACGAUGAGUGCUAGGUGUUGGAUCCUUUCCGGGAUUCAGUGCCGCAGCUAACGCAUUAAGCACUCCGCCUGGGGAGUACGACCGCAAGGUUGAAACUCAAAGGAAUUGACGGGGGCCCGCACAAGCGGUGGAGCAUGUGGUUUAAUUCGAAGCAACGCGAAGAACCUUACCAGGUCUUGACAUCCCGAUGCUAUUUCUAGAGAUAGAAAGUUACUUCGGUACAUCGGUGACAGGUGGUGCAUGGUUGUCGUCAGCUCGUGUCGUGAGAUGUUGGGUUAAGUCCCGCAACGAGCGCAACCCCUAUUGUUAGUUGCCAUCAUUCAGUUGGGCACUCUAGCGAGACUGCCGGUAAUAAACCGGAGGAAGGUGGGGAUGACGUCAAAUCAUCAUGCCCCUUAUGACCUGGGCUACACACGUGCUACAAUGGUUGGUACAACGAGUUGCGAGUCGGUGACGGCAAGCUAACCUCUUAAAGCCAAUCUCAGUUCGGAUUGUAGGCUGCAACUCGCCUACAUGAAGUCGGAAUCGCUAGUAAUCGCGGAUCAGCACGCCGCGGUGAAUACGUUCCCGGGCCU